rnacentral:tRNA from 1 species
GAAAAUCCUCGUGUCACCAGUUC